GACGAACCGUGCGAACGUUGUUCGGAAUCACUGGGCUUAAAGGGCGCGUAGGCGGGCCGCAAAGUCAGGGGUGAAAGCCUCCAGCUCAACUGGAGAAGUGCCUCUGAUACUGGCGGCCUCGAGGGAGAUAGGGGCGUGCGGAACUUCCAGUGGAGCGGUGAAAUGCGUUGAUAUUGGAAGGAACGCCGGAGGCGAAAGCGGCGCACUGGAUCUCUUCUGACGCUGAGGCGCGAAAGCUAGGGGAGCAACGGGG
rnacentral:rRNA from 1 species